rnacentral:lncRNA from 1 species
GUCUGCACCGCCAGGUAUAAGCAUCUCCCCUCCAUACAUGAGCAUCUCCCCUCCAUACAUGAGCAUCUCCCCUCCAUACAUGAGCAUCUCCCCUCCAUACAUGAGCAUCUCACCUCCAUACAUGAGCUUCUCCCCUCCAUACAUGAGCAUCUCACCUCCAUACAUGAGCAUCUCCCCUCCAUACAUGAGCAUCUCCCCUCCAUACAUGAGCAUCUCCCCUCCACACAUGAGCAUCUCCCCUCCAUACAUGAGCAUCUCCCCUCCAUACAUGAGCAUCUCCCCUCCAUACAUGAGCAUCUCCCCUCCAUACAUGAGCAUCUCCCCUCCAUACAUGAGCAGCUCCCCUCCACACAUGAGCAGCUCCCCUCCACACAUGAGCAUCUCCCCUCCACACAUGAGCGUCUCCCCUCCAUACAUGAGCGUCUCCCCUCCAUACAUGAGCGUCUCCCCUCCAUACAUGAGCGUCUCCCCUCCAUACAUGAGCGUCUCCCC